GCGCCCGCUUCAGCUGCACAUCCACUCAAAAUGGAACAAUACAGAGAUUAGCAUGACCCCUGCACAAGGAUGACAUGCAAAUUCAUGAAGUGUUCAUAAAAAGA
ensembl:snRNA U6 U6 spliceosomal RNA